rnacentral:tRNA from 1 species
GGAGGUGGAAGGGUCCCGGUGUGCCUCGCCGUCUUCAAAACGGUUGCUCGGGCAGCUUCCUGUUCGAGGGUGGGUUCGACUCCCAUGGACCUCCGCCA